rnacentral:rRNA from 1 species
UACGUAGGGUGCAAGCGUUGUCCGGAAUUAUUGGGCGUAAAGGGCUCGUAGGCGGUCUGUUGCGUCGGGAGUGAAAACUUACAGCUUAACUGUGAGCGUGCUUUCGAUACGGGCAGACUUGAGGCAUUCAGGGGAGAACGGAAUUCCUGGUGUAGCGGUGAAAUGCGCAGAUAUCAGGAGGAACACCGGUGGCGAAGGCGGUUCUCUGGGAAUGUCCUGACGCUGAGGAGCGAAAGCAUGGGUAGCAAACAGG